GCCUGCACCCAGGUGAUUAAAAAGCUUUAUUGCUCACACAAAGCCUGUUUGGUGGUCUCUUCACACGGACACGCAUAACAAUGUGUAUAACAAAUACACCAGAAGACCUGGGUUCAAAUAGGAAGCUCUGCCAUUUACUAGCUGUUUAAUCUCGGGCAAGUUAGCUACUCAUAGUAAUCUUUUAUUGAGCCCUUACUAUGUGCAUCUAUAGACUGCAGGCAUCCUUUUGUGUGAUACCACAAAUUAUCUUAUUACAUGCUGUUUUAUUAGUUUUAUUCUCUUAUUUUACACCCCAACAAUGCUAUGAAGUAGAUUCUUUGAUUAUCCCCAACUGAGGCACAGAAUAAUUAACUUCCCAGUGACACAAAGGUCAAGAUGAGACUCGAAUUGAGUACCCUGAUCAAAGGCCCAGGGGUUUGAUCAUUAGGUUUUACUUGCUUCUCUGAGUUUUGAUUUUUCUCAUCUGGAAAUGGAAAUCACAGUAAUUAAUCUCUCAGGUUUGGUACAAGAAUUGAAAGACAAGUUACAUAAAAGAAAUCAUUAUUGUCACUAUGCUGUUUUCUCACACUCCCAAAUCAAAAGCCAGGAGAGUGCUUUUAUUUCAAACCAUUCCUUUGUCCCCCAGAUCCAGUCUCCGCCAUAUUCUACUACUCUCUCUUCCCAAUAUCUUUAAGACUUACUCAUUCUUCUCCAUUUUUGUUUCUCCAAUUUUAUUAGUGAGAGUACCCACUACUUUUUAUAUUAUAAUUUCAAUAACUGCGUCAUUCUUUUUCUUGCUCCAGCCUUUCCUUGCCCUGAUGUAGCCUUCUGACACUAUCUGAUUAAUAUGCACAAAACUCCAUAUUUUUAUUGCCAUGGGUCAUUCUUCAUUGCUUAUGGGAUAAAGAUAUUCCUGUAUCUUCACCCUGGUAUUUACGACUUUGGGUCUCUUGGUCCAGUUUUACAGAUUCAAACUCAUUUCCCAGCAGAAUCUAAUGGAAUUUAGGAAAAAGGGGGCAUUUCCUUACCUGUUAAGUAUCUGAUAUGCUAAGCACUGCUUGUAUUUGGUGGGAAAAACAGACUUAGAUAUAGAUCCUAUGAAGGGAAGACCAGAGGCACAAACAUCAAAUAAAUGCAUACGUAGUCAAUUACAGUUAUAAAGGAGGGCUGGUGUAGGAGUGAAAACUAACCUAGUAUAGAGGUUCCCUGAAGCAACAUAAAACCCUUCGUUCUCCCCUUCGUUCUCACCUUCACAGAAUUGUUCAUUCUCUUCCUUUCCUUACAAAACUCCCCACUCUUAUCCAUGCAAAUCCAAGUAUCCUAUUAGUUUUUUUUAAGGACACAGCUUAAGUCCUAUUUAUGCUAUUAAGCUUUACCUGACUUCUCUAGCCUCCAAAAAUCUUGCUUUUUUUUUUUUUCUAAAAAUCUUAGUGCAUUGAUGGUUCUUUGUUCCUGCUAUCACACUUGAUUAUUAUCACACUUGAAAGUAAUAGAUUACGGACUUUACAGUUACUAUAACUUGAUUAUCCAUGUUUUUACCUAAGAAUCCUGCGUUCUUUUCCUUUAGAUACCAUAUGAUACUAUAAUAAAUAAAUAUUUGCUUAACAAAUAGCUGAGUGUUUUGGGGUGUGCACAUCUAGGUGCUAGAAAUAUAUGUAACAAAAGCAAGGACUGCAAUCAUGGCUGUAAUACGUUGAGCAACCUUCCUAAAGCUUAUGAUUAACCUAAUUCCACUCUUGUUCAUUUGCUUUCAGUUUUAUUUGAGCUAAAAUUUAAUACUCUUUGCACUAACAUUGCAGAAAAACUGAUUGCUUAUUGUUCUGGAAGUUUGGCUACGUUAAUACUAACUAAUGUUAACAAAUUCCAUAAAAUCCCUAAAGCUAAACCUGCCUAUGAAAUACACUGGUCCCUGUUAUAUACCUUCUGGAUUAUAUAUUUAAUGCCAAAUUUCCACAUAAAACCAAAGAUAAAUCAACAAAAUAAAGGCCUUAAAUUUCAGUUCUUGGAUAUGUCUCUGAAAGGAAUGUAAUGUGCUUAAUAAAGUUCUGUAAUUUUUUUUUUCUGAUUUUCAGAGCUCUGCUUAUCAUAAAACCUAAAAACAGCUAAUCAAAGCUAACAGGAUUCAGUGGAGAGAUCGUGCCUCCCUCUGUUUCCCAGUCUACUCUCAAGCAAAACACUCUACUUUGUCUAGACGAAUCUACCUAUUUUUAGCCAGUUAUGCCUGAGAAGCUCUGCCUCCAAGAUCUUGAUCAUGCCACUUCCGCCUCUUGAAAGCCACUUCCUCUUUUUGCAUAUUGACCUUUUUUCUUCCAAGCUGAAUUUAAUCCUGCAGUAAUUCUUGAUUACCCUAAUUCACAGCAAUCUUUUCCUUUCUAAACAUCCAGUAGUUUUCAUUGCCAAUGCUGCCUACUUAAUAUUUAUUUUCCUAUUUGCACAAUUGUGACAUGUCACUAUUAAUAAAUAUUUGAGUUCCCAUUAUGUGCAAAGUACUGUGCCAAGAUCUAUACUUAACAUUUUUACUUUAAUUACAUUUAACUUUUUGUUUUUAAAAAUAUAUUAUGGCCCGUAAUCUAUCUUGUGUGUUUCUUCACUUUACAAUUCGAUUGUAAGCAACCUGAGGUCAGAACACAGUCCUGCUCUUUACAGCCCUAGGCACAUCCUUAUAGAAUAUAAAUCUCCAGAAGCAUCUUUUUUUACCAUCUCCACAUAGGGCAGCAAUUUCAAAAUAGUGAAAAGAUCUUUUGAUAGUUAUGAAGCCAGAAGUGUAGUGUUAUAAAGCUGGAGUGGGAAGCGCUUGUUUGCAGGGACCUGGGUUCCCUGGGCAUGUAACUCAUCAAUGAAGUCAUCUUGGAAAAACACCAAUUCAGGAAAUUGUGAACACAUCCUUCCUUAGACACUGCUCCAACAGGACUCUCUGAGAGGAGGUUUGCUCCUCUUCUCAGCUGUCCUAAAAAUGUGUCUUCAAUAUAAGACAUGAAGAAUGGUGUGAGACUUCUGAUAUCCUGAGGAUCACAGUGAAAGACUGAAUGCUGAAAAGAAGGAUAGGAUGCUGGCAGCCACUGAAAGCCUGCAAGCUAACUCAGGUGAAAGCAAGUUCUUCUCUGUGAUUAUUCAAAGAAUUAAAUCCAUUCUCUGGUUUGUUUUCACAGU